rnacentral:rRNA from 1 species
GACGAACGCUGGCGGCGUGCUUAACACAUGCAAGCCGAACGGAAAGGCCCUGCUUUUGUGGGGUGCUCGAGUGGCGAACGGGUGAGUAACACGUGAGUAACCUGCCCUUGACUUUGGGAUAACUUCAGGAAACUGGGGCUAAUACCGGAUAGGAGCUCCUGCUGCAUGGUGGGGGUUGGAAAGUUUCGGCGGUUGGGGAUGGACUCGCGGCUUAUCAGCUUGUUGGUGGGGUAGUGGCUUACCAAGGCUUUGACGGGUAGCCGGCCUGAGAGGGUGACCGGCCACAUUGGGACUGAGAUACGGCCCAGACUCCUACAGGAGGCAGCAGUGGGGAAUAUUGCACAAUGGGCGGAAGCCUGAUGCAGCAACGCCGCGUGCGGGAUGACGGCCUUCGGGUUGUAAACCGCUUUCGCCUGUGACGAAGCGUGAGUGACGGUAAUGGGUAAAGAAGCACCGGCUAACUACGUG